rnacentral:rRNA from 1 species
GAGUUUGAUCGUGGCUCAGAUUGAACGCUGGCGGCAUGCCUUACACAUGCAAGUCGAACGGUAACAGGUCUUCGGAUGCUGACGAGUGGCGAACGGGUGAGUAAUACAUCGGAACGUGCCCAGACGUGGGGGGAUAACGAGGCGAAAGCUUUGCUAAUACCGCAUACGAUCUAAGGAUGAAAGCAGGGGACCGCAAGGCCUUGCGCGUUUGGAGCGGCCGAUGGCAGAUUAGGUAAUUGGUGGGAUAAAAGCUUACCAAGCCGACGAUCUGUAGCUGGUCUGAGAGGACGACCAGCCACACUGGGACUGAGACACGGCCCAGACUCCUACGGGAGGCAGCAGUGGGGAAUUUUGGACAAUGGGCGAAAGCCUGAUCCAGCAAUGCCGCGUGCAGGAUGAAGGCCU